GUAAAAGCAAGCUGAGAUGAGGUGAGGGGGUGUUCCAAUGUGAACAGAGACGCAGGGUUCGGGCUGAGGGAGCCUGGGCAGUGGGGAAACCGACGGCGUGAGCAGUGCCGGGACCAGGGGCUAUGACUAAGGUGGGCGCCCCGCGUCCAGGAAGAGGACGCGAGGAAGCUGCACGAGCCUCCGGCGCUUGUCUGAGAUGCAGAAGUGGAUGACCGGGCUCCCGGGCAUAAAAUCAAAGUUCCGUGGAGCUUGGAGCUCUUAGACAGCGACGCUUGUCCGAGCUGAGAGCCCUCCGUGGUUCGAGCUCGCGCGUGGAGCGGCCUCCAGCGCUCGGUCUGCUAGGGUAGAAGCCCAUGAAGGGGGUCCCGCGGCGCUAGCUUUUGUACGGCCCCGCCUUGGCCAGCCGUGAGCUGACGCACCGGCUCCCCUGGGACGCUGGGGGCGUCGCACCGCAGCUGGGUGGGGAGCAAUUUAUUCCUCGCCGUCCCAUCCCAGCCCAUCUUUGGUUACUCCACCCUACCCCUCCCAUCCCUCCUCCUCCUCCUCCUCUUCCUCCUCCUUCUCUAACAACGCCCGCACUACCUUCUGAUUCUCCACCUCCUCUUCAUCCUCCAUCCCCCUUUUACUUCUCUCUCCCCCGUCUCUCCUCCCUCCCGCCUCCUUUCUCCCUCUCCCCCUCCCUCUCUCCUCUGAAUAAGCAAGCUUUUGCCUCUAAAAGUCACAAGUAAUCCUCGUGUGUGACAGAGAGAGAGAGAGAGAGAGAGAGAGAGAGAGAGAGAGAAACGAGCUGGCGGAGAGGAGCAGAAGGCAGGAGGGGAAAUCUGGCACAACGGCUGGGAGAGGAAACUUGAUGCUUCUGGGCCACCAUUUGCCAGGGCCUCGCUCGAGACGCCGAAAGAAGCCUGUUUGUGUGCUGCGGCCGUGCUGUGACUUUGGAUCUUGUCUUUCAGCCGGCGCCUCGGUUCCUGCCCAGCUGGAUUUGGGGGGCAGCAUUGCCUGGCGCAGGGAGAUCAAAUGAGACUGCAAAGAAGCAUAAAAUGAAUAGACAAUCCAACCAACCAAAGACCGGGGGCAGCAGCAGGCCAGCAAGACGGCAUCUUCUCCUUCCCAGCCUAGAAGCCCUGUGAAAUCGAGGAUCUUCCCCCUAAAACACAUACACACAAGAUAUGUGCAAUCAAGCUGCCACCGCUUGGUAAAAAGCCAUGGUGCCUAACCAAAAAGGAUCAGGAACAGAUCCUUGAAUCAGCUGUCACUUCUAUAGAAUGGGAUUUUUUUUUCCUUCCUCCUUAACCUGCGCUGGAAAUUGCCGUUGGCUUUAUACAUCUCUAUAGAGAGAGGCUAAAGAGUCUUGCGUGAGAAAGAAGCAAUUUACAAUGCAAAUAGAGGCCUGUGAAGGGACGGAUGCUGCUGCUCACUCGUAACAGCUUGCUGCACCUUAAUAGCUGGUUUUAUUUUCUGAUAUUAAUAGAUGAAUUGUUGGCUAACGCUGCCGGAGAUUACUUGCUGAAAGGAAAAAGAAAAGUUCGGAAUAAACUCUGAAGGCAACAGAUCUCGUUUGGAUGUUUUAGCCGCGCACACACACAAACAGAAACCAGGUCAUAUUUACAUAAAAGGAGGAAUCUUAAGCGCGGCAAGUAUCCUGGACGACCACUCUUCGGUACUGCCAGAAAGGAUCAGGACCUGGAGUCUGGCAAGAGGAAGACAGAGGCCUGUGUGGGAAGCGAGUUGUUAUCUUUGGUUAUCUAGCUGUAUGAGUGUAUUGGUCUUCAUAAAGCUAGAUAACCGAAAGUAAAAACUCCUUCAAGAUCGCCGGGGAGCGUGUGAGAAUGAAAGACUACAGCCGAGAGACAGUAAAAACCAGAAAGGUCAGGAAUACUUAUUGAAUCUAACUUUGUUUUUGUUUUGUUUUUUUCCUUAUGAUUAAAGGUGGGAUGAGAGAAAAUUAAAUGACACACACAUGCUAAAAUAUCAAGGUUCCAGAUAUGUCUUGAGAGGGGUUGUUGCAGCUGCAAAGGAGAAGUGUAUAGUGAUAAUGAGUAAAGAUGCAUGUGCAGUUUGUUCUAUUUUAAGGCAAAAGUUAUAUCAGGGAUUUUUUUCUUAGAAAGGUGUUGCAGAGAUGUCUGGUACCUAGUUUAAAAAUGAUUCCAUAAUAUGUAGACUUGGGCAGUUCCUUUGGGAGGCACCUCCCUCUCAAAAUUUGAAGAUUGUGCUUGGAAAUUACUUUACAUGUAUUUGGGCUGUAUGUCAAUUUGUACGAAAUUAGACUUUCAGAAAAGUUUAUACUGGAAGGUUAAUAAUUUGUAUCUACUGAGGACUUAGAGCUAGCAGGCAAAAUGAAAAAAAAAAAAAAAAAAGCAAGGGCUGAUUUUUAUUCUUCUAUUCAAAAUACAAGGACAGAUGCUUCUCUGUUCCAAGAGGGUUUCCUUGAGGAAGCUACUGAAGCAGAAAGACAUGAUGGAGACGAGAUCGCCUCCCCUCUUGUCAAAGUGUUAAAAAAAUGUUCUGUCUUACUCUGCGCCUAGCAUUGGAAAUGAAAGUGACAUUUACGCCACAACCCACGUGUGCGCCUCCUCUCUUUUUGUUUAAGGAUGAUCAGGUCUAUCCAGGAAACAGCUCUGGCAUCCCAAACUGAAAUAAUUAGGACGUAUAUAGACCUGACAAAAAUGGAAAGGGGGUGGGGAAUCUGAGGGUCUGUCUUGCCUAAUUGAUUCCGCUAAACGGAAUGCAGGAGAUGUGAACGGCAGGACGCUCCGAUUCCCACGCUCGGGGGCAAGUGAUAAAGCGGGGCCGGGCAGCCUAUGACAGACAGCCCUGUUGGGGGGUGGGGGUAUGAAAAAAACAUCAAGUGCACACACCAUACUCAUCUCCAUCGCUUAAGAAAGUAAAGGCAUUUCCCACCCACAGCCAUCUGCAGCUUCCCAAAUGGCAGCACCAACUGGUCUGUAGCUGCUACAUAGUCUGCUUCUGUUAAUUUUUUAACCACUGUUUAAUCUGGCCAUAAUUAAGUUUGGCUUUCUUCGUUGUUUGAGAUUUUCAGAAUUCAAGGCAAGCUAGUAGAAAGCAAUUCCAAGAAAGUCCCAUGACUGCCUGCCCCUAAUGUCAAAAUCUCAGUCCAUGAGAUUAUGGCCUUGUGACCACAUUUUUGCUUUUGUUUUGGGUGGGCAAAUGUGUAUAGAGAUAAAAUACAUAUCUCUAUAUAACAGUCGUUAUUAUAAUUUCAUGAGGCUUUUUACCUCUUAACAUGAUACAUCUAGGAACUUGGUCUAAUUGUGCUAGUAGAUAUACACUAGAAGUAAAACUAUAAAGUCAUUAGCCUGUAGAAAGUUGAUUAUGAUAACAAUAUGAUAAAAAGUUUGUUUUGGAAUAGUCUCAGCUAGAUGGGUCUAAAUAGCCAUUUUAAUGUAAUCUAAAAAUAACACUAUGCCUAGCAGAAACUUUGGCGCUUUGGAGGUCCCCAUUGUCGCCUUUUCAUAAAAGUCCUUAAGUUUUCCAUAUGUCACCAAGCAAACAUUUGUAUAGGCAUUUACACAGAAAUAUAACCAUUGCAAUUAGAAAAUAUCCAAAAUAGCCUGUUAUCUUCCACGUGGCCUAGAUUAUUGACAAUCCCAAAUAUACAAUUUUUCUUUAAAAGUAGUACAAUUUCCUUUGUAGCUUCAAUUCCUUAUAUGACUUCAGACUGGAGAAGCCUGUUAAACCACUGUUAGUUUCAGUUAGAAAGUCUGAGAGACUUUAUACAUAAAUUCUCAAUUUGGCUGCUGUACACGUGCCAGAGUUUUACUACUGUAGUGACCGUUGAGAAGACCCUUGUUUAUUUACAUUUGAAGCACUGUUUGUGCAAACAACCUUUCAUUGUUAAGUGCCUGUAUUCCUUUCAUUUACUUCAUGUCCAGGGGUGCUAUUUACCUAGAACCAUUGUCUACUACAAUUAACAUUUACAUUACAAAGUGUGUGGUUUUCUUUUUCAAGGAGGUUCAAUUAAGGCAAUAAGAUGUUUGCUGGAGAAACCUAUUGUUUACUGAAAGCACUCAAUGAAGUCAAAUUACUGAAGCUUUUGCCUACAUCUUGGUCUUUUAUGUAAAUAUGUUAAAUAUAACAUCUAAGGAAAAUAAACAAUAUUAUAAUUAUGUGUUUGCCAUUGUCAUAUCAAACUUGCUUUGUAUCAUACUAAUGUUACAUAACUUAUCGAUCAAUAAAAAUACAUUUCAAUGUUAUUAUUUUCAUUUUAUUUUUUGCUGUUCCACUGCCCUUGGUGCAACAUGUCCCAAUUUUUCUUUUUUCUAUUACACAUCAAACUUCUGAC
rnacentral:lncRNA from 1 species